UUCUGUAGGCUGUCAAUUAAGUCAGAGGUCAAAGCCCUCGGCCCAACCGAGGAAGCGCUUCUGAUACUAGUUAACUAGAGGAAUUUAGGGGGUAGCGGAACAUAUGGUGUAGCAGUAAAAUGCGUUGAUAUCAUAUGGAACACCGAGGGGGAAGCCAGCUACCUGGGAAUUUCCUGACGCUGAGAGACGAAAGCGUGGGGAGCGAAAC
rnacentral:rRNA from 1 species